rnacentral:tRNA from 1 species
CUAGGAGCUAGGUUAAUUAAAACCGAGGACUUGUGGCGUCCUAAAUUUAACAUAGUUAAGUUCUAGU